UUGAGGUUCCAACCCAAAACCAAUUGGCAAUGGGGGAGUAACCCAACUCCUUAUAAGCCCUUGCAAGGUUUUUUUUUUCUAACUUUCCAAUGUGGGACUCUUUUACCAUCACAUUCUCACACGCCCCCACACGUAUGGCGAAUUUUCAAGCCUAACACGUGGACAACACAUUUUGGGUGACGUGGAGCACGUGUGGCCGUUGGGCUUUCACACGUGGGCUAACCCGCUCUGAUACCAUGAAGGAAGUUGAGGUUCCACCCCAAAACCAAUUGGCAAUGGGGGGAGUAACUCAACUCCUUAUAAGCCCUUGCUAGGUUUCUCAACUUUCCAAUAUGGGACUCUUUACCUUCACAUUCUCACACGUCUCCGCAUAUGUGGCGAAUUUUCAAGCUUAACACGUG
rnacentral:lncRNA from 1 species